UGGGAAUGAGAAGGAUCGUCACCGAAGAGAAACGCGCUGCUUUGGCAAUUUGCUCCAUUAUGUGCGCAGAAAAAAAAAAAUCCAAAAAGAAAAGACGACGACGACGACGUGUAUGGACAAGAAAAUGGCGGAGAAGACGUGGGAAAUACGAUCUGUCCGAUUUAAGUUCCGCUUCCGCCCUGCUUUUACAGCGCGAUACACUCACGAGGGAAAACCAGAAUCUCAAGCAGGUUUUUGUCCGACAACGCGACUGUCGAGUGUAGGUCGGGUGGGGUUUUGCUCAUGAGACUCCUCCCACACUGCAGCGCUAACGUAGUGACGUAGAGAUGACGCAGACCGCAUGGUCGCCAUGACGAGGUCCACUGUGUCCGCUUUCUUUUGAGAAGCUCCUGUCCCAGGCUGUACGACGUAAAAACAUUGUCACAGGUAAUGUUGUGGCCACUGAGGCCUUGUGACAUAUCUAGCACCACUCGUGUCCCCUGGUUUCUUGCAGCAGCUCCUCCUUCCAGCUUCCCUGUAUAAAUUUGCAUGUUCCAUGCAGAAGAUGAAACAGCAUCACAUGCAGCCCAGAUUGAUGCCAUACCUUGCUGGUUUUAAGGGCAUAUCCUGCCUGAAAGGGCAGCGGCCUCUAAACCCCACAAGCCGUUCGUCCACGGGUUAUAAAGACAGGGAAGCCGGUCCACCCACUGGUCCCACACAGUGCAGAUUGCUGCCAACUUGUCCCCCCGCCGUCUAAGAGGUCUUUUUGAUUUGAUUUUGAUUGUGAUAUACUAUGUUGAUCCCCGAGGGGAAAUUAUGUCCUGCUGUGUGACCCAUCCAUUUGUUCACACACAGUAAUGUGUCUUGAUUCCCGCUUGUCAAAUCUGAAUACAAUGAAGCUCUUCAGAGACAUUGUGGCUCUAAAAAUUGCUGUGUGUGUGUGUGUCUCUGUGUAUGUGGGUCAAAAUGACCCGAAGACCAUAUGAAGGAUGUAAAUGUGUGGGGUAUAGUAUAGUUGUUUUUGUUUCUUUAUACGUGUUUAUCACAGAAAAUAAGCUGAGGCCAUUGAGUUCAGGUAGAAAAAAAUUUAUACUUUUACCAUUUUUAUUCUUGUAAAAAUCUGAAACGGGUCAAUUUGACCCAAAUACCAUACAAGGGAUAGCGCACUAAAAAGAAAAGUUUCUAUCACAGAAGUGAAAAAAUAUUCUAAUAUUCUAAAAUAUUUGGUUGAAUCCUAUAAUGACUUGAAGAAAAUAACAUGUUGCAUCAUUUACUCAAACACGACUCAUGUACAGAACUCUGACUGGAUCAAAAACCUACUGCUGUCCCACAUGUGACCCUGAAGUAGAGACGUUCAACACUGAGGCUCUGAGGCUGUUUCACUCUAUUGAAGGAGACAUGAUGGAAACACUGUGAUUUGGCUUAAA